AAGCGGAGGAAAGAAACUAACAAGGAUUCCCCUAGUAAUGGCGAAUGAAGCGGGAACAGCUCAAAUUUGAAAUCUCCGUUGCCUGCAACGGCGAAUUGUAGUUUCGAGAAGUACUUUCUCGGCGGGUCCGGGGUCGUCCAAGUUGCUUGGAACAGCACGUCGUAGAGGGUGACAACCCCGUCUGCGGCGACUCCGGCCGUCCACGAUGUGCUUUCGACGAGUCGGGUUGUUUGGGAAUGCAGCCCAAAAUGGGUGGUAAACUCCAUCUAAAGCUAAAUAUUGGCACGAGACCGAUAGCGAACAAGUACCGUGAGGGAAAGAUGAAAAGCACUUUGAAAAGAGAGUUAAAAAGUACGUGAAACCGUUAAAAGGGAAACGAAUGGGGUUAGCAAUGCGCCGCGCGAGAUUCAGCCGGCGGGCGAGUCGGGCGGGUGGUCUGCGGAUCCGAAUGGACUGCUGCUGCUCGGUUCGGCCCUCUCGCCGUCGCACUUCUCGCUGGCGCGCGCCAACGUCGGUUGGGACUGGGUUUUAAAGGCGACAGAAAGGUAGGCCCGAACCCUCGGGUUGGGGCUGUUAUAGUCUGACGUCGUAUGGCCCGGGCCCGACCGAGGAGCUUGCGGUGCAUGCCGUCUCGGCUAGGGUCCCGUCGUUCCGGUCGGUCGUCGACUGCGGUGGACUGCUUGCAGUGCGCCGCGACUGCUGCCGGUCGCGAUGGCGGUGACUUCGUACGAUGCGCCCAGGACGUUGGCGGUCAUAUGGCCUCAUCCGACCCGUCUUGAAACACGGACCAAGGAGUCUAACAUGUGUGCGAGUCUUUGAGUGAUCGAAACUCGUGGGCGUAAUGAAAGUGAAGGCGAUCUCGGUCGCCGAGGUGAGAACCUUCUCCCUUCUUUGUUAAGGGGCGGGGGAGGCGCAUCAUCGACCGACCUGUUCUACUCUUAGAAAGAU
rnacentral:rRNA from 1 species